rnacentral:lncRNA from 1 species
CGUCAAGCAGACUAGUGUUGCUUUUGGCUGGAGGUCCACGAAUCUCGCUGGAAGUGUGAUCGAGUGAUAAAAAGAAGAGUGCGCGUUCAAGAAGUCUGACCGAUAGCGUGAUUAGCCCCUGAGGGCAUGUGCUUGAGCUGCGGUACUGUGUAAGAACAGCCGUCUCGCCACAGUGGGCAGUAAGAGCUGAGUCGAACAUUGUGGAAAAACGAACUACGAGCGGAUGAGGAAACUACUAACUGUUUUACGGAGGAUUGCAAUGCGGCGUUUUGAGUAGACGCACUGAACACUGAGAUCGGCCUUCUCUUCUAUUCUACUGCUAAAUUUUCCAUCAUGGCUGACCAAGCUGUGGUGUGGUUGUGGAGUGCGAUGGGGACAUCCUGCCGACGGAAGCGGCGGGGAAUGCACCGGUUGGCCGGCGCAAGGAUGCCGGUGGCCUACCAGGAUUCUGCCCGGGCAGUUCACCGUUGGAGCAGCCGCCGUGGGAUACUCUGACACUCACACAACACACUUAGGUUAGGCACGCCAUCUAGUGGAUAAGGACGCCAAAUAGUUAUUAAUUCGCCAAAUAGAUGUAAGUACGUUUA